rnacentral:rRNA from 1 species
GAUGAACGCUGGCGGCGUGCCUAAUACAUGCAAGUCGAGCGAACGGACGAGAAGCUUGCUUCUCUGAUGUUAGCGGCGGACGGGCGAGUAACACGUGGAUAACAUACCUAUAAGACUGGGAUAACUUCGGGAAACCGGAGCUAAUAACGGAUCAUAUUUUGAACCGCAUGGUUCAAAAGUGAAAGACGGUCUUGCUGUCACUUAUAGAUGGAUCCGCGCUGCAUUAGCUAGUUGGUAAGGUAACGGCUUACCAAGGCAACGAUGCAUAGCUGACCUGAGAGGGUGAUCGGCCACACUGGAACUGAGACACGGUCCAGACUCCUACGGGAGGCAGCAGUGGGGAAUCUUCCGCAAUGGGCGAAAGCCUGACGGAGCAACGCCGCGUGAGUGAUGAAGGUCUUCGGAUCGUAAAACUCUGUUAUUAGGGAAGAACAGAUGUGUAAGUAACUGUGCACAUCUUGACGGUACCUAAUCAGAAAGCCACGGCUAACUACGUG